rnacentral:rRNA from 1 species
AGAGUUUGAUCCUGGCUCAGAUUGAACGCUGGCGGCAGGCCCUAACACAUUUAAGUCGAGCGGAUGAAGGGAGCUUGCUCCUGGAUUCAGCGGCGGACGGGUGAGUAAUGCCUAGGAAUCUGCCUGGUAGUGGGGGAUAACGUCCGGAAACGGGCGCUAAUACCGCAUACGUCCUGAGGGAGAAAGUGGGGGAUCUUCGGACCUCACGCUAUCAGAUGAGCCUAGGUCGGAUUAGCUAGUUGGUGGGGUAAAGGCCUACCAAGGCGACGAUCCGUAACUGGUCUGAGAGGAUGAUCAGUCACACUGGAACUGAGACACGGUCCAGACUCCUACGGGAGGCAGCAGUGGGGAAUAUUGGACAAUGGGCGAAAGCCUGAUCCAGCCAUGCCGCGUGUGUGAAGAAGGUCUUCGGAUUGUAAAGCACUUUAAGUUGGGAGGAAGGGCAGUAAGUUAAUACCUUGCUGUUUUGACGUUACCAACAGAAUAAGCACCGGCUAACUUCGUGCCAGCAGCCGCGGUAAUACGAAGGGUGCAAGCGUUAAUCGGAAUUACUGGGCGUAAAGCGCGCGUAGGUGGUUCAGCAAGUUGGAUGUGAAAUCCCCGGGCUCAACCUGGGAACUGCAUCCAAAACUACUGAGCUAGAGUACGGUAGAGGGUGGUGGAAUUUCCUGUGUAGCCGGUGAAAAUGCGGUAGAUAUAGGAAAGGAACCCCCAGUGGGCGGAAGGCGGCCACCUGGGACUGAUACUGACACUGAGGUGCGAAAGCGGGGGGAGCAAACAGGAUUAGAUUACCCCGGUAGUCCACGCCGUAAACGAUGUCGACUAAGCCGUUGGGAUCCUUGAGAUCUUAGUGGCGCAGCUAACGCGAUAAGUCGACCGCCUGGGGAGUACGGCCGCAAGGUUAAAACUCAAAUGAAUUGACGGGGGCCCGCACAAGCGGUGGAGCAUGUGGUUUAAUUCGAAGCAACGCGAAGAACCUUACCUGGCCUUGACAUGCUGAGAACUUUCCAGAGAUGGAUUGGUGCCUUCGGGAACUCAGACACAGGUGCUGCAUGGCUGUCGUCAGCUCGUGUCGUGAGAUGUUGGGUUAAGUCCCGUAACGAGCGCAACCCUUGUCCUUAGUUACCAGCACCUCGGGUGGGCACUCUAAGGAGACUGCCGGUGACAAACCGGAGGAAGGUGGGGAUGACGUCAAGUCAUCAUGGCCCUUACGGCCAGGGCUACACACGUGCUACAAUGGUCGGUACAAAGGGUUGCCAAGCCGCGAGGUGGAGCUAAUCCCAUAAAACCGAUCGUAGUCCGGAUCGCAGUCUGCAACUCGACUGCGUGAAGUCGGAAUCGCUAGUAAUCGUGAAUCAGAAUGUCACGGUGAAUACGUUCCCGGGCCUUGUACACACCGCCCGUCACACCAUGGGAGUGGGUUGCUCCAGAAGUAGCUAGUCUAACCGCAAGGGGGACCGUUACCACGGAGUGAUUCAUGACUGGGGUGAAGUCGUAACAA